rnacentral:rRNA from 1 species
UUGUUGGUAAGGUAAAAGCUUACCAAGGCUUCGAUCAGUAGCUGGUCUGAGAGGACGACCAGCCACACUGGGACUGAGACACGGCCCAGACUCCUACGGGAGGCAGCAGUGGGGAAUUUUGGACAAUGGGGGCAACCCUGAUCCAGCCAUGCCGCGUGAGUGAAGAAGGCCUUCGGGUUGUAAAGCUCUUUCAGCCGGAACGAAACGGUUACGGAUAACACCCGUGACUACUGACGGUACCGGAAGAAGAAGCACCGGCUAACUACGUGCCAGCAGCCGCGGUAAUACGUAGGGUGCGAGCGUUAAUCGGAAUUACUGGGCGUAAAGCGUGCGCAGGUGGUUUUGUAAGUCAGAUGUGAAAGCCCCGGGCUCAACCUGGGAACUGCGUUUGAAACUACAAGACUAGAGUGUGGCAGAGGGGGGUGGAAUUCCGCGUGUAGCAGUGAAAUGCGUAGAGAUGUGGAGGAACACCGAUGGCGAAGGCAGCCCCCUGGGUCAACACUGACGCUCAGGCACGAAAGCAUGGGGAGCAAACAGGAUUAGAUACCCUGGUAGUCCAUGCCCUAAACGAUGUCAACUAGUUGUCGGGCCUUUACGGGCUUGGUAACGUAGCUAACGCGUGAAGUUGACCGCCUGGGGAGUACGAUCGCAAGAUUAAAACUCAAAUGAAUUGACGGGGACCCGCACAAGCGGUGGAUUAUGUGGAUUAAUUCGAUGCGACGCGAAAAACCUUACCUACCCUUGACAUGUAUCGAAGCCCGCAGAAAAGCGGGGGUGCCCGAAAGGGAACGAUAACACAGGUGCUGCAUGGCUGUCGUCAGCUCGUGUCGUGAGAUGUUGGGUUAAGUCCCGCAACGAGCGCAACCCUUGUCAUUAAUUGCCAUCAUUUAGUUGGGCACUUUAAUGAGACUGCCGG